UUGAGGGGAAUGUUGUCUGGCUCGAGGACACUUUCCUUGAUCUAUAAUCUCUAGAUCAACCGUUAUAUACCUAUACAUAUAUCUAUAUAUGUGUUUGUAUAUGUUGUGUGUAUCAUCUGCAUACAUAGAUGAUCAGGUUAAGUAGUGUCGUCGGACCAGGCUUCAUUCCCCCCAA